rnacentral:piRNA from 1 species
UCACACGAGGGUUUCUGCUGACUGUG